rnacentral:rRNA from 1 species
UACGAGGGGGGCGAGCGUUAGGCGGAAUCACUGGGCUUAAAGCGUGUGUAGGCGGACUUCUAAGUACCUUGUGAAAUCCCACGGCUCACCCGUGGAACUGCUGGGUAUACUGGUCGUCUUGAGCCACCUAGGGGCCAGCGGAACAAAUGGUGGAGCGGUGAAAUGCGUAGAUAUCAUUUGGAACGCCAACGGUGAAAACAGCUGGCUGGGGGUGUGCUGACGCUGAGACACGAAAGCCAGGGGAGCGAACGGG